CCAGCAUUUAGUUGGGCACUCUAAGGUGACUGCCGGUGACAAACCGGAGGAAGGUGGGGAUGACGUCAAAUCAUCAUGCCCCUUAUGACCUGGGCUACACACGUGCUACAAUGGAUGGUACAAAGGGCUGCAAGACCGCGAGGUCAAGCCAAUCCCAUAAAACCAUUCUCAGUUCGGAUUGUAGGCUGCAACUCGCCUACAUGAAGCUGGAAUCGCUAGUAAUCGCGGAUCAGCAUGCCGCGGUGAAUACGUUCCCGGGCCUUGUACACACCGCCCGUCACACCACGAGAGUUUGUAACACCCGAAGUCGGUGGGGUAACCUUUAUGGAGCCAGCCGCCUAAGGUGACAGAAGAAGG
rnacentral:rRNA from 1 species